rnacentral:rRNA from 1 species
CUUAAAGGAUCACUAAAAGAUGAGCCUGCGGCGCAUUAGCUAGAUGGUGGGGUAAAGGCCUACCAUGGCGACGAUGCGUAGCCGGACUGAGAGGUCGAUCGGCCACAUUGGGACUGAGACACGGCCCAAACUCCUACGGGAGACAGCAGUUAGGAAUAUUCGUCAAUUGAGGAAACUCUGAACGAGCAAUGCCGCGUGAAUGAUGACAGUCUUUGGAUUUGUAAAGUUCUGUUGUUGGGGAAGAAUGUGUUAUAUAGGAAAUGAUAUAACAGUGACGGUACCCCUUCAAGAAAGCUCCGGCUAACUACGUGCCAGCAGCCGCGGUAAUACGUAGGGAGCAAGCGUUAUCCGAAUUUAUUGGGUGUAAAGGGUGUGUAGCGGUUUAAUAAGUUUAAGGUCUAAUUUCGAGGCUUAACUCGAACUGCCUUAAAAACUGUCUAACUUGAGUAUGGUAGAGGCAAGUGGAAUUUCUAGUGUAGCGGUAAAAUGCUUAGAUAUUAGAAGGAACACCAGUGGCGAARGCGACUUGCUGGGCCAUUACUGACGCUGAGACACGAAAGCGUGGGGAGCAAAUAGGAUUAGAUACCCUAGUAGUCCACGCCGUAAACGAUGAAUACUAAGUAUCGGAAUUUUCGGUGCUGAAGUUAACACAUUAAGUAUUCCACCUGAGUAGUACGGUCGCAAGGCUGAAACUUAAAGGAAUUGACGGGCACCCGCACAAGCGGUGGAGCAUGCUGUUUAAUUCGAUGAUACGCGAAGAACCUUACCUGGGCUUGACAUCCCAAUGACCGGUCUAGAGACAGACCUUUCUCUUCGGAGACAGUGGUGACAGAUGGUGCAUGGUUGUCGUCAGCUCGUGUCGUGAGAUGUUCGGUUAAGUCCGACAACGAGCGAAACCCCUGUUCUUAAUUGCUAACAUUUAGUUGAGAACCUUAAGGAGACUGCCGGUGAUAAACCGGAGGAAGGUGGGGAUGAUGUCAAAUCAUCAUGCCUCUUACGUCCAGGGCAACAGGCGUGCUACAAUGGCUAUUACAAUGAGAUGCAAUAUGGUGACAUGGAGCAAAUCUAGAAAGAUAGUCUCAGUCCGGAUUGAAGUCUGCGACUCGACUUCAUGAAGCUGGAAUCGCUAGUAAUCCCAGAUCAGAAUGCUGGGGUGAAUACGUUCCCGGGUGUUGUACACACCGCCCGUCAAGGCAUGGGAGUCAAUAAUACCCGAAGUCAUUAGCCUAACCCGU